UAUNUGGUUNANUUNGANGCAACGCGAAGAACCCUUACCAGGUCUUGACAUCGAGUGACGAAUUCAGAGAUGAGUUUUUCCUUCGGGACACAAAGACGGGUGGUGCAUGGUUGUCGUCAGCUCGUGUCGUGAGAUGUUGGGUUAAGUCCCGCAACGAGCGCAACCCUUGUCAUUAGUUGCUACGCAAGAGCACUCUAAUGAGACCGCUACCGACAAGGUGGAGGAAGGUGGGGAUGACGUCAAAUCAUCAUGCCCCUUAUGACCUGGGCUACACACGUAAUACAAUGGCCGUCAACAGAGGGAAGCGAAACCGCGAGGCGGAGCAAAACCCUAAAAACGGUCUCAGUUCAGAUUGCAGGCUGCAACCCGCCUGCAUGAAGGUGGAAUUGCUAGUAAUCGCGGAUCAGCAUGCCGCGGUGAAUACGUUCCCGGGCCUUGUACACACCGCCCGUCACACCAUGGGAGUUUGCAACACCCGAAGUCCAUAGCCUAACCGCAAGGAGGACGUGGCCGAAGGUGGGAUAAGCGACUGGGGUGAAGUCGUAACAAGGUAGCCGUAUCGGAAGGUGCGGCUGGAUCACCU
rnacentral:rRNA from 1 species